rnacentral:rRNA from 1 species
AGUGAACGCUGGCGGUAGGCCUAACACAUGCAAGUCGAACGGCAGCACAGUAAGAGCUUGCUCUCCGGGUGGCGAGUGGCGGACGGGUGAGGAAUACAUCGGAAUCUACUUUUUCGUGGGGGAUAACGCAGUGAAACUUACGCUAAUGCCGCAUACGACCUACGGGUGAAAGCAGGGGAUCUUCGGACCUUGCGCGAUUGCAUGAGCCGAUGUCGGAUUAGCUAGUUGGCGGGGUAAAGGCCCACCAAGGCGACGAUCCGUAGCUGGUCUGAGAGGAUGAUCAGCCAAACGGGAACUGAGACACGGUCCAGACUCCUAAGGGAGGCAGCAGUGGGGAAUAUUGGAAAAUGGGCGCAAGCCUGAUCCAGCCAUACCGCGUGGGUGAAGAAGGCCUUCGGGUUGUAAAGCCCUUUUGUUGGGAAAGAAAAGCAGCAGGUUAAUACCCCGCUGUUCUGACGGUACCCAAAGAAUAAGCACCGGCUAACUUCGUG